UCCCCAAUAUGGGCCUCUAGAUUUUGCUCCAGGGCUUCUCUUAUACCAAGAUCUGUGAUGUUGUGGAGAACAGCCUGGCAGUCACAAUCCAGAAGUGUUGAGCAGUGACUACUUGUGAGGAUCCCUUUGGAUGGAACGUUGUAGGUGGGCAGAAAUGAGGACCCAUUGCUGGUGGGUUUGGAGCUACUUCGGACAGGCUGGACUUAAUGCAGAACAUGAAAAAGCAGCAAUCUCUUCAUUUUGAAAACUGCCCUCCACCACUCCAACAUCAAGAUCAAGUGAGAGCAGCCAAACCUGGCAUCCUGACCACAUAGGUGAGAAAGCCAGCCCAGCUAGGGGUCUCUUCAAGUCCUUUCCAAAGAUUUUUUUAAUUUAAACUAAAGAAAGAGAACACAGCUUGGAACAUGUGUUCUGGCUGAGUGGGAUAGUCAGUCUGAGAGAAAGAGCCCUAAGUCUUUAACUCUCCCAGUCAGGUUGCUCCUACAGCCACCAACCUCAUGCCCUCUGGGGAUUUGGUUACACGUGAGAUCACAAGUCCCAGACAAGGCACUAGUGGUCUCCCAGGACCUGUGAUCUACUUUCAUUCUUCUCAAAUCCAAAGUCAAGUCA